rnacentral:rRNA from 1 species
GACGAACGCUGGCGGCGUGCCUAAUACAUGCAAGUCGAGCGGACUGAUUAAGAGCUUGCUCUUAUGACGUUAGCGGCGGACGGGUGAGUAACACGUGGGCAACCUGCCCUGUAGAUCGGGAUAACACCGAGAAAUCGGUGCUAAUACCGGGUAAUAUCUGAGAUCACAUGAUCUUAGGUUAAAAGAUGGCUCCGGCUAUCACUACAGGAUGGGCCCGCGGCGCAUUAGCUAGUUGGUAAGGUAAUGGCUUACCAAGGCGACGAUGCGUAGCCGACCUGAGAGGGUGAGCGGCCCCACUGGGACGGAGACACGGCCCAGACUCCGACGGGAGGCAGCAGUAGGGAAUCUUCCGCAAAGGACGAAAGUCUGACGGAGCAACGCCGCGUGAGUGAUGAAGGGUUUCGGCUCGUAAAGCUCUGUUGUUAGGGAAGAAACAGUACCGAACGAACUAGGUCGGUACCUUGACGGUACCUAACCAGAAAGCCACGGCUAACUACGUG